rnacentral:rRNA from 1 species
UACGUAGGGUGCAAGCGUUGUCCGGAAUUAUUGGGCGUAAAGAGCUCGUAGGCGGUUUGUCACGUCGGAUGUGAAACCCUGAGGCUCAACCUCAGGCCUGCAUUCGAUACGGGCAGACUAGAAUUCGGCAGGGGAGACUGGAAUUCCGUGGUGUAGCGGUGAAAUGCGCAGAUAUCGAGGAAGAACCAGCCUAUGGCGAAGGCAGGCGUCUCGUGGGACGGUACUGGACGCUGAGACGGCGAAAGCGUCGGGGAGCGAACACGG